UGGUGCUUGCAUCAUGAUUUACAUUCCAGUGAGUGGCGAACUGGUGAGUAACACGUGGGAAACCUGCCCAGAAGCGGGGGAUAACACCUGGAAACAGAUGCUAAUACCGCAUAACAACUUGGACCGCAUGGUCCGAGCUUGAAAGAUGGCUUCGGCUAUCACUUUUGGAUGGUCCCGCGGCGUAUUAGCUAGAUGGUGGGGUAACGGCUCACCAUGGCAAUGAUGCGUAGCCGACCUGAGAGGGUAAUCGGCCACAUUGGGACUGAGACACGGCCCAAACUCCUACGGGAGGCAGCAGUAGGGAAUCUUCCACAAUGGACGAAAGUCUGAUGGAGCAACGCCGCGUGAGUGAAGAAGGGUUUCGGCUCGUAAAACUCUGUUGUUAAAGAAGAACAUAUCUGAGAGUAACUGUUCAGGUAUUGACGGUAUUUAACCAGAAAGCCACGGCUAACUACGUGCCAGCAGCCGCGGUAAUACGUAGGUGGCAAGCGUUGUCCGGAUUUAUUGGGCGUAAAGCGAGCGCAGGCGGUUUUUUAAGUCUGAUGUGAAAGCCUUCGGCUCAACCGAAGAAGUGCAUCGGAAACUGGGAAACUUGAGUGCAGAAGAGGACAGUGGAACUCCAUGUGUAGCGGUGAAAUGCGUAGAUAUAUGGAAGAACACCAGUGGCGAAGGCGGCUGUCUGGUCUGUAACUGACGCUGAGGCUCGAAAGUAUGGGUAGCAAACAGGAUUAGAUACCCUGGUAGUCCAUACCGUAAACGAUGAAUGCUAAGUGUUGGAGGGUUUCCGCCCUUCAGUGCUGCAGCUAACGCAUUAAGCAUUCCGCCUGGGGAGUACGGCCGCAAGGCUGAAACUCAAAGGAAU
rnacentral:rRNA from 1 species